rnacentral:rRNA from 1 species
UACGGAGGGGGCUAGCGUUGUUCGGAAUUACUGGGCGUAAAGCGCGCGUAGGCGGCUUUGUAAGUCAGAGGUGAAAGCCCGGGGCUCAACCCCGGAAUUGCCUUUGAGACUGCAUCGCUAGAAUUGUGGAGAGGUAAGUGGAAUUCCGAGUGUAGAGGUGAAAUUCGUAGAUAUUCGGAAGAACACCAGUGGCGAAGGCGACUUACUGGACACAUAUUGACGCUGAGGUGCGAAAGCGUGGGGAGCAAACAGG